GAUCCUGGCUCAGGAUGAACGCUAGCGACAGGCCUAACACAUGCAAGUCGAGGGGCAACAUGGUAUCAGCUUGCUGAUACCGAUGGCGACCGGCGCACGGGUGAGUAACGCGUAUCCAACCUUCCCGUUACUCUGGAAUAGCCUUUCGAAAGAAAGAUUAAUACCGGAUAGUAUCGAGAGAUUGCAUGAUUACCCGAUUAAAGAUUCAUCGGUAACGGAUGGGGAUGCGUUCCAUUAGG
rnacentral:rRNA from 1 species